rnacentral:rRNA from 1 species
AACGAACGCUGGCGGCAUGCCUAACACAUGCAAGUCGAACGAGACCUUCGUGUCUGGUUGCGCACGGGGGCGUAACGCGUGGGAACGUGCCCUUAUGUUCCGAAUAACUCUCCGAAGGGGGGGCUAAUACCGGGUAAUUUCUUCUGACCAAAGAUUUAUCGACUUGGGGUGGGCCGGCGUUGUAUUAGCUUGUUGGUAGGGUAAAAGCCUACGAAGGCGACGAUCCAUAGCGGGUCUGAGAGGAUGAGCAGCGACACUGGGACUAGGAAGCGGUGCAGAAUACUACGCGAGGCAGCAGUGGGGAAUAUUGCAAAACCGGGGAAAGGCUGAACCAGCAAUGCCGCGUGAGUGAUGAAGUCCUGAGGGUAGUAAAGCUCUUUUACCCGCGAUGAUAAUGACGGUACCGGGAGAAUAAGCUCCGGCUAACUUCGUG